rnacentral:rRNA from 1 species
AACGUAGGUCACAAGCGUUGUCCGGAAUUACUGGGUGUAAAGGGAGCGCAGGCGGGAAGACAAGUUGGAAGUGAAAUCUAUGGGCUCAACCCAUAAACUGCUUUCAAAACUGUUUUUCUUGAGUAGUGCAGAGGUGGGCGGAAUUCCCGGUGUAGCGGUGGAAUGCGUAGAUAUCGGGAGGAACACCAGUGGCGAAGGCGGCCUACUGGGCACCAACUGACGCUGAGGCUCGAAAGUGUGGGUAGCAAACAGG